rnacentral:rRNA from 1 species
GAUGAACGCUAGCGGAAGGCAUAAUACAUGCAAGUCGAACGGAUGUAGCAAUACAUUAGUGGCGCACGGGUGCGUAACGCGUAUGCAACCUACCUUCAUCAGGGGGAUAACUACUCGAAAGGGUGGCUAACACCGCAUAAUACUACUGAAUGGCAUCAUUUGGUAUUUAAAUCUGAGGAGGAUGAAGAUGGGCAUGCGUCUGAUUAGCUAGUUGGUGUGGUAACGGCGCACCAAGGCGACGAUCAGUAGGGGAACUGAGAGGUUGGUCCCCCACACUGGCACUGAGAUACGGGCCAGACUCCUACGGGAGGCAGCAGUAGGGAAUAUUGGUCAAUGGUGGGAACACUGAACCAGCCAUUCCGCGUGCAGGAAGAAGGGUCUCUGACUUGUAAACUGCUUUAGCAAGGGAAGAAAAAGCUCAUGCGUGAGAAAUUGACGGUACCUUGAGAAUAAGCACCGGCUAACUACGUGCCAGCCGCCGCCGUAA